rnacentral:rRNA from 1 species
GACGAACGCUGGCGGCGUGCCUAACACAUGCAAGUCGAGCGAAUGAAAUUCCUUCGGGAAUGGAUUUAGCGGCGGACGGGUGAGUAACACGUGGGCAACUUGCCUCAUAGAGGGGAAUAGCCCUCCGAAAGGGAGAUUAAUACCGCAUAAGAUUGUAGUAUCGCAUGAUACAGCAAUUAAAGGAGCAAUCCGCUAUGAGAUGGGCCCGCGGCGCAUUAGCUAGUUGGUGAGGUAACGGCUCACCAAGGCGACGAUGCGUAGCCGACCUGAGAGGGUGAUCGGCCACAUUGGGACUGAGGCACGGCCCAGACGCCUACGGGGGGCAGCAGUGGGGAAUAUUGCACAAUGGGGGAAACCCUGAUGCAGCAACGCCGCGUGAGUGAUGACGGCCUUCGGGUUGUAAAGCUCUGUCUUCAGGGACGAUAAUGACGGUACCUGAGGAGGAAGCCACGGCUAACUACGUGCCAGCCGCCGCCGUAACAC